rnacentral:rRNA from 1 species
UACAGAGGUCUCAAGCGUUGUUCGGAUUCAUUGGGCGUAAAGGGUGCGUAGGCGGCGCGGUAAGUCGGGUGUGAAAUCUCGGAGCUUAACUCCGAAACUGCAUUCGAUACUGCCGUGCUUGAGGACUGGAGAGGAGACUGGAAUUUACGGUGUAGCGGUGAAAUGCGUAGAUAUCGUAAGGAAGACCAGUGGCGAAGGCGGGUCUCUGGACAGUUCCUGACACUGAGGCACGAAGGUCAGGGGGAGCAAAACGGG